UCCUACGGGAGGCAGCAGUAGGGAAUUUUGCGCAAUGGGGGAAACCCUGACGCAGCAAUACCGUGUGCGGGAAGACGCUCCGUGGAGUGUAAACCGCUGUCAGAUGGGACGAAACAAUGUCUGUACCAUCAAAGGAAGGACCGGCUAACUCUGUGCCAGCAGCCGCGGUAAUACAGAGGGUCCAAGCGUUGUCCGGAUUUAUUGGGCGUAAAGCGUCUGUAGGUUGUUAAUUAAGUCUGAAGUGAAAGAACGGAGCUCAACUCCGUACCCGCUUUGGAAACUGGUUAGCUAGAGAAUGUUAGAGGUAAGUGGAAUUCCUAGUGUAGCGGUGAAAUGCGUAGAUAUUAGGAAGAACACCAGAGGCGAAGGCGGCUUACUGGGACAUUUCUGACACUGAGAGACGAAAGCAUGGGGAGCGAAAGGGAUUAGAUACCCCUGUAGUCCAUGCCGUAAACGAUGAAUACUAGUCGCUAUGGGAAUCGACCCCCGUGGUGACGUAGCUAACGCGUUAAGUAUUCCGCCUGGGAAGUAUGCACGCAAGUGUGAAACUCAAAUGAAUUGACGG
rnacentral:rRNA from 1 species